GACGAACGCUGGCGGCGUGCCUAAUACAUGCAAGUCGAACGCAGUGGGGACGGGUGAGUAACACGUGGGUAACCUCCCAUCAGAGGGGAUAACACUUGGAAACAGGUGCUAAACCGAUACUGAUGGAUGGACCCGCGGUGCAUUAGCUAGUUGGUGAGGUAACGGCUCACAAAGGCCACGAUGCAUAGCCGCCCUGAGAGGGGGUUGGGCCACACUGGGACUGAGACACGGCCCAGACUCCUACGGGAGUCAGCGGUAGGGAAUCGGCGGAAAGGGACGAAAGUCUGACCGAGCAACGCCGCGUGAGUGAAGAGGGUUUGCGGAUCGUAAGACUCUGUUGUUAGAUAAGCGGUAUCUAACCAGAAAGCCACGGCUAACUACGUGCCAGCAGCCGCGGUAAUAC
rnacentral:rRNA from 1 species